AUUACAGGCGUGAGCCACCGCGCCGGCCCUUAUUUUCAUAUAUGGCUAAAACAGGAGUCCAAUUUUUUUUUUUUUUCUGAAUAGGUAGCCUGUUAUGCCAGUUAAAUAUUUGUGGUUUAGUGAAAACCAAAAGAAUUAUGUAUUAAAUAAUAAUUCCUCACUGUAUUGAAAUGCUACUUUUGUUAAAUUAUUAUAUAUACUCACAUAUAUUUUAUAUUCUAAUCUGUCAUUCUUAUGCCAAUGACAUAUUGAUUUGGUCAUAGUGUUUUUGUAGUAUGUUUUAAUUUGGGGGGUUUUAGGAAGGCAAUAUAUAACACUAUUUCUGUGAUGAGGUCAUGAAGAGUGCCUCCUUUAUUCUGUUUCCCUUUCCAUGACAUUCACUGUGGGGAGGCUCUCUGUUGAAACUGUGGAGACACAAGAUGAAAGCAGUUGGAUCCCUGCAUCACUUUAUGGAGGAGAGUUUCUUCCCUGGAGCUUUGCCUGAUUGCAUCAUCUUUGUAUGUGGCCAAGGAGAGUGAUGGAAUGACCAAAGGGCCAGGGAGAACAAGGAACAAGGGACUUCUUCCUAGAGAAGCUUAAUGAAGAAACCUCUGACGAGGUCAAUGCAGGGUAGCACUGAUGACAGCUGGGACCGUGGGCUUGCUUCUUACAGGAAAGGAAAGCUUUCCAUAUUUCAAGUAUUGAGACAAGUAAGAUUUUUCUGUAAUUUUUUGUGGCUAUAUAGUGUCUCUUAAAAGAAAGUUCCCUUGGACUCCUAGCUUGCCUAGCUGUUUUUAUCUUGAAUGGCUGUUGAACUUUACAAUUUUUUUGUAUCUCUUGAAAUGAUCAUAUAUUUUUCUAUUAAAG